rnacentral:rRNA from 1 species
CCUACGGGAGGCUGCAGUGGGGAAUAUUGCACAAUGGGGGAAACCCUGAUGCAGCGACGCCGCGUGAGUGAUGAAGUAUUUCGGUAUGUAAAGCUCUAUCAGCGGGGAAGAUAAUGACGGUACCUGACUAAUCAGCUCCGGGCAAAUACGUGCAAGCAGCCGCGGUCAUACUCAGGGAGCACGCGUGAUCCGGAUUGACUGGGUGUAAAGGGAGCGCAGACGGCAGGGCAAGGCUGGUGUGAAAGCCCGGGGCUCAACCGCGGGACUGCAUUGGAAACUGUCAGGCUAGAGUGCAGGCGAGGGAAGUGGAAUUCCUGGUGUAGCGGUGAAAUGCGUAGAGAUUAGGAGGAACACCAGUGGCGAAGGCGGCGUACUGGACUGUAAAUGACGUUGAGGCUCGAAAGCGUGGGGAGCAAACAGGAUUAGAUACCCGAGUAGUC